UGACCCUUUUAAGCCGAGGGUCACCUAGCCAACUGACGUUGUUAGUGAACCAGAUUGUUCACAGAAAUAUAUAGCCAAUCACCCAAUUGUGAUUGGCUUUUUUUAU
rnacentral:sRNA from 1 species